rnacentral:rRNA from 1 species
UGGGGAAUAUUGCACAAUGGGCGCAAGCCUGAUGCAGCCAUGCCGCGUGUAUGAAGAAGGCCUUCGGGUUGUAAAGUACUUUCAGCGGGGAGGAAGGGAGUAAAGUUAAUACCUUUGCUCAUUGACGUUACCCGCAGAAGAAGCACCGGCUAACUCCGUGCCAGCAGCCGCGGUAAUACGGAGGGUGCAAGCGUUAAUCGGAAUUACUGGGCGUAAAGCGCACGCAGGCGGUUUGUUAAGUCAGAUGUGAAAUCCCCGGGCUCAACCUGGGAACUGCAUCUGAUACUUGCAAGCUUGAGUCUCGUAGAGGGGGGUAGAAUUCCAGGUGUAGCGGUGAAAUGCGUAGAGAUCUAGAGGAAUACCGGUGGCGAAGGCGGCCCCCUGGACGAAAACUGACGCUCAGGUGCGAAAGCGUGGGGAGCAAACAGG